CAAGCUCUCCAUUGUGGCCAUUUUUCAAACGGGAUCUAAUAAAAAUGAAGAAAAUGUUUAUGUUGAGAGUACAAAAGCAAAUGUGAGAUGAGACGAAAGCCGAUUUAGAUCAAAGAAGGGAAGACAAGGAUCAAGAAAUUAAUGGGUGCUUGGAUCAGAAGAGAGAGGGAGAUUGGUUUGGAUGUGGACGUAGAAUCUGAAACACAGAGAGAGUAAACGGCAAAAACGGUUUGGAGGAGAGUUGGCAUUGAUGCAAUAGCGACACGAGACAGGGAGGUUUUGAUUUGAAUAUGUGUUAAAGUUUUG
rnacentral:misc_RNA from 1 species